rnacentral:rRNA from 1 species
CCAGACUCCUACGGGAGGCAGCAGUGGGGGAUAUUGCACAAUGGGGGGAACCCUGAUGCAGCGACGCCGCGUGGGUGAAGAAGCGCCUCGGCGCGUAAAGCCCUGUCAGCAGGGAAGAAAAUGACGGUACCUGAAGAAGAAGCCCCGGCUAACUACGUGCCAGCAGCCGCGGUAAUACGUAGGGGGCAAGCGUUAUCCGGAUUUACUGGGUGUAAAGGGAGCGUAGACGGAAAGGCAAGUCAGAAGUGAAAGCCCAAGGCUCAACCAUGGGACUGCUUUUGAAACUGUCAAACUAGAGUACGGGAGAGGUAAGAGGAAUUCCUAGUGUAGCGGUGAAAUGCGUAGAUAUUAGGAGGAACACCAGUGGCGAAGGCGACUUUCUGGACUGUACCUGACGCUGAGGCGCGAAGGCGUGGGUAGCGAACGGGAUUAGAUACCCCCGUAUC